rnacentral:rRNA from 1 species
UAAACUCUUCAGUAGGGAAGAAGCGAAAGUGACGGUACUGCAGAAGAAGCGCCGGGCUAACUACGUGCCAGCAGCCGCGGUAAUACGUAGGGCGCAAGCGUUAUCGGGAAUUAUUGGGCGUAAAGAGCUCGUAGGCGGUUUGUCGCGUCUGCCGUGAAAGUCCGGGGCUCAACUCCGGGAUCUGCGGUGGGUACGGGCAGACUAGAGUGAUGUAGGGGAGACUGGAAUUCCUGGUGUAGCGGUGAAAUGCGCAGAUAUCAGGAGGAACACCGAUGGCGAAGGCAGGUCUCUGGGCAUUAACUGACGCUGAGGAGCGAAAGCAUGGGGAGCGAACAGGAUUAGAUACCCUGGUAGUCCAUGCCGUAAACGUUGGGCACUAGGUGUGGGGGACAUUCCACGUUUUCCGCGCCGUAGCUAACGCAUUAAGUGCCCCGCCUGGGGAGUACGGCCGCAAGGCUAAAACUCAAAGGAAUUGACGGGGGCCCGCACAAGCGGCGGAGCAUGCGGAUUAAUUCGAUGCAACGCGAAGAACCUUACCAAGGCUUGACAUGAACCGGAAAGACCUGGAAACAGGUGCCCCGCUUGCGGUCGGUUUACAGGUGGUGCAUGGUUGUCGUCAGCUCGUGUCGUGAGAUGUUGGGUUAAGUCCCGCAACGAGCGCAACCCUCGUUCUAUGUUGCCAGCACGUGAUGGUGGGGACUCAUAGGAGACUGCCGGGGUCAACUCGGAGGAAGGUGGGGACGACGUCAAAUCAUCAUGCCCCUUAUGUCUUGGGCUUCACGCAUGCUACAAUGGCCGGUACAAAGGGUUGCGAUACUGUGAGGUGGAGCUAAUCCCAAAAAGCCGGUCUCAGUUCGGAUUGGGGUCUGCAACUCGACCCCAUGAAGUCGGAGUCGCUAGUAAUCGCAGAUCAGCAACGCUGCGGUGAAUACGUUCCCGGGCCUUGUACACACCGCCCGUCAAGUCACGAAAGUUGGUAACACCCGAAGCUCGGUGGCCUAACCCCUUGUGGAUGGAG